rnacentral:rRNA from 1 species
UGAGGAAUAUUGGUCAAUGGGCGGAAGCCUGAACCAGCCAUCCCGCGUGCAGGAAGACAGCCCUAUGGGUUGUAAACUGCUUUUCCAGUGGGCGAACCCCUCGUACGUGUACGGGAUUGACGGUACACUGGGAAUAAGCAUCGGCUAACUCCGUGCCAGCAGCCGCGGUAAUACGGAGGAUGCGAGCGUUAUCCGGAUUUAUUGGGUUUAAAGGGUGCGUAGGCGGAUGAAUAAGUCAGUGGUGAAAGGCUGCAGCUUAACUGUAGACUUGCCGUUGAUACUGUUUAUCUUGAGUGUGGUCAAGGCAGGCGGAAUGUGUAAUGUAGCGGUGAAAUGCUUAGAUAUUACACAGAACACCGAUUGCGAAGGCAGCUUGCUGGGCCAUUACUGACGCUGAUGC